rnacentral:lncRNA from 1 species
CGCCCAGGCCCUGGGACCCCGCCUGGUCAGGCUUCCUGCGGGAAGGAGACCUUCCUAUGUUACCGGGAGGGCACCGCCCGCCCCGGGCUCGAGAGAGUCGUCCUGGGACCCGUGUUGAGCUAAAAUCCCUGUUGGCCUGAACUCGGGAAGGGAAGUCAGCUGCACGCGGAGCCUCUGGAACCGGGCGACAGAUGAAGCCAGGUAUUGCUGUAUUUUGCCAGGAAGGAGGGCUCCUCUAAAAUGAGUGACCACCACCCUCCCAGUGAUAUCUUCGUCUAACAGUCCAUGGAAAAGUAGGAUUGAUGGUGGACUCCGACCGGGUUGGAUGCACUCAAUGCAUACAGCCUGCUGAUGAGUGAGUGAAGGACGGCACAAGCCUGGAAGGUUGAAGAGCAGAGAGAACAAAGCACAGCAGUACACACAGCGCCUAUGUAGCCCAAAGCUUGCAGAGUGGGAAACCUUUUAUGUUUUCCUUUUUGUGAUUUCUCUCUUGGUUUUUUGGUUGGUUUGGUUUGUUUCCUUGGAGACAAUACCAUGUUUUAAAAGGCCUAGCCGGGCGUGGUAGUGCACGCCUGUAAUCCCAGCACUCGGGAGGCUGAGGCAGGAGGAUCACUGUGAGUUCCAGGCCAGCCUGGGCUGCAUAGUGAGUUCCAGUUCAGCCUGGACUACAUAGGGAGACCCUGUCUCAAAAAACCAAAAGCUAAAUAAAUAGCAAACUAAAAAUCCUAGUAGUCUUAAAACCCUGUUCAUCCUGUAGGGUUAAUGUGGUCUCUCAACUUUGUUUCCUGUGUAACUACAGAUAACUUCUGUUGUAGCCUCACAGGUCUACCUGUUGUACUAUAACAGUACUAUACAUCAAUAGUGUUAUUAUGACUUUAAUUAUAUAAAAGCCAAGUGUUUAGUCAG